rnacentral:lncRNA from 1 species
UAAACUUGAACAUUAAGAAAAGUACUGUUAGUACUUCUGUUCUGUGACAUAGGCACUACAUUGCUGUUUUUUUAGAAUUGUAGAAGUCUGUUUUCCUCAGAAAUGAUGCACCUCAGAUGCCUGUGAAUAUCUCCAGGCUUUCUAUCAGGUGUUCAAUAGAAGCUGCUGCAUUUAGAUCAGCUUGGAUUUAAUUUGUUUUUGAUCAUUUAUGGUACACGCGCUGUUUGGAAAAGUAACUGAAAGUUUCUCUAGCUCAUGUACUUCUAAGGGAGACGAAUAACUGAUCUUUCCUUCCUUUGGAGGGAUCUCUUGAGCCUGUGUGGAAAACAAAGAGUUACAGCAGUGCUGACUCUUUUCCUUCCCACCUACCUUGAACGCAGACUGGCUCUCUCUUUAAGCAGUAUGCCGAAGGUGAAAUGAGAGAGGCAAUAGGAAAAAGUGCACCUUAUUCAAGUUCCUUUCAGGAUUUUGGUGAUUAGAAUUGCCAGAAGCAAGUCCUCGAAGCAUAAAGAUGCAGUCUUUCCCCUCCAAACGGAUCCCUGUGGUAUACAGCAUACCAGCUCCCAAUGAUUCUGAACAUGGAUCUGGGCAGAGUCCGAAUCUUCACCAUCUCCAGUCUCCUCAAGAAGAAAUCUCAUAUGUGCAGCAUUCUUUCUUCAAACAGAUGAAUUUGCAUUUCUGGAGAAGGUGGCUUCUAGGAAUGUUACCUCUGAUUUCCUUAGCAGUCACUGUACUCGUGUUGGUCCUGUACUAUUCAUUAUCUCCAGCAUUCUCCUUUAUCUAUAUUGGUGGAAGUGUAGAAAUACCUAACUUGACCUAUAGAAGUGACCUCACUGAUCCAAAGUCACAGAAAUUUAUAAUGCAAGCAGAAGCAAUCCAGAACUAUGUAAGUACUCACAGGUGACAUAGCCUAUAACUCGAAAACAUUUUAUCACUGGUUUAGUUGAAAUCCUUUCUUCAAAAUUCAAAGGUAUAGUAGAAAGCUGAGGUUUGAGUCAUGGGUAUUUGUUCUUUUCUUUCAAAGUAAUAAAAUCUAGGAUUAGUCUGGGAGAGAGUCA